rnacentral:pre_miRNA from 1 species
GUAGUAUUCCCUCCGUCCCAAAAUUCUUGUCUUACAUUUGUUUAGAUACAGAUGUAUCUAACACUAAAAUGUAACUAGAUACAUCCGUAUUUAGACAAAUUUAAGACAAGAAUUUUGGGACAGAGGGAGUACAAA